ACCCAUCUCCAGUCCUCCUACAUGUAACAGUGACAAAACGAGCAUUAUUAUUGGAGUUAUUAUCUCUGUUGUCAUUGUUGUCAUCGGAAGUGCAAUCAAUUUCAUACUGUGGAAGAGGAACCAAUCAAUAAUUGCAGUGAAAUGUGAUCUUAAAUCAAGUGCAGAUCAAAAGGAUGUUGACUUCACAGACAUUCCUUCAAGUGGACAUCAGGUUUGCUCCAUUUAUGCAGAACUUGGAGCUCUAGACAAACACUCUACGUACGAGGAGCUACAUCAAUAUGCCGUGGCUGUCAACAGAUAAUAACAACAAGUUAAAUCGAUGCAAAGCAUCAAAUCGGCCGCGAAAGUAAAUUAUUAUUUUAGCUUAAGGUAUACGCAACGUUGUUUGAAAUUUUUGCCUUUUUCCAUGGAGUCGAAGAGUUCCAAUUCUGAAGGAAGUGUGUGCUGUAUUUUAAUGUCUAUUCAUUGUUUCAUUUCAACUGUAGUGUAUUUAAAAUAAAAUUCAAUACUUUUUAAAUACUUUAAAUGCAUCAAUUUAUUAGUCUAGAUAUGUAUUCAUACUUGGAAACUUAAUACGUCUUCUUUCAAUAUUUACGCACGCCCAUAAAUUGGGGAGUAGUUCUUGCAAUAACCUUUUUAAAAUUCAGAAUUAAAGGAAUAUCUGAUAAGAAACGUAAGACAAUGUAAAACGUCCUAACAGCCA